rnacentral:rRNA from 1 species
GACGAACGCUGGCGGCGUGCUUAACACAUGCAAGUCGAGCGGAAAGGCCCUGCUUGCAGGGUGCUCGAGUGGCGAACGGGUGAGUAACACGUGGGUGAUCUGCCCCUUACUUUGGGAUAAGCCUGGGAAACUGGGUCUAAUACUGGAUAGGACCAUGCUGUAGGUGGUGUGGUGGAAAGAUUAGUUUCGGUAAGGGAUGAGCUCGCGGCCUAUCAGCUUGUUGGUGGGGUAAUGGCCUACCAAGGCGUCGACGGGUAGCCGGCCUGAGAGGGUGGACGGCCACAUUGGGACUGAGAUACGGCCCAGACUCCUACGGGAGGCAGCAGUGGGGAAUAUUGCACAAUGGGCGCAAGCCUGAUGCAGCGACGCCGCGUGGGGGAUGACGGCCUUCGGGUUGUAAACUCCUUUCAGCCAUGACGAAGCCCUUGUGGUGACGGUAGUGGUAGAAGAAGCACCGGCUAACUACGUG